rnacentral:rRNA from 1 species
GGAGGAAUAUUGGGCAAUGGACGCAAGUCUGACCCAGCCAUGCCGCGUGAAGGAUGAAGGCGUUCUGCGUUGUAAACUUCUUUUAUCUGGGAAGAAACCUACUUUUUCUAAAGUAGCCGACGGUACCAGAGGAAUAAGCACCGGCUAACUCCGUGCCAGCAGCCGCGGUAAUACGGAGGGUGCAAGCGUUAUCCGGAUUUACUGGGUUUAAAGGGUGUGUAGGCGGGUAUUUAAGUCAGUGGUGAAAUCU